CUUUAUGUCAACCUCAGGCGUGAUUUAACAGGCGUGUAGCUGGUGCGUAUACGACCUUUCGCGCGAGGUGUAUGCGUGAACUCGGAAAAUAAGAUGCCAAUGUCACACUUUGGUGUUUGUUAUGUGGAAAGUACUAAUUUAGUCUGAGGCUACAACACAGGUGGUGGGAUUCUUUAGCACUGUGAGUUGAGAUAUACAUGCCAGCUUUCCAAACAUUUGACGUGGUUCAGAUAUUUUGAACUGUUGUCCUGGGCUUUAUUCACCUGACUUGACAUCGGGUUAACAACAUGGGUUUUCAAGCUGUAUAAUCAGUGAAGUGUGAAUCUGUGUUAUGAUAGGUUGGAUCAACGUGGAAUUUUAUCGCUUUCGAAAACAUCCUUUGCUUUUACUGCUUUCGAAAACACCGUUUGUCUUUCUCGUUUUC